rnacentral:rRNA from 1 species
GAAUAAAGAGCUGGAGGGGUGCGUGCCGCAGGCAAGUCGGGCGCCCUUUGGUUAGGACCAGGAGGAGUGGGUGGACGGGGUGAGUUGCACGUGGGUACCUACCGCGCGGGUGAGGAAUACCGGCGAGAAAUGGCCGACAAGUACCGCAUACGCUUCUCACCGAAGCAAAGCUCCGCAAGGAGCGCCUGGGGAUGGGCCUGCGGCCGAUUAGCUGGUUGGUGGGGUAAGGGCUCACCAAGGCGACGAUCGGGUAGCUGGUCUGAGAGGAUGAUCGGCCACACUGGGAUUGAGAACGGCCCAGACUCCUACGGGGGGCAGCAGUGAGGAAUUUUCGGCAAUGGGCGCAAGCCUGAUCCAGCAAUGCCGCGUGAGUGAAGAAGGCCUUCGGGUUGUAAAGCUC